GAGUUUGAUCGUGGCUCAGAUUGAACGCUGGCGGCAUGCCUUACACAUGCAAGUCGAACGGCAGCACGGGAGCUUGCUCCUGGUGGCGAGUGGCGAACGGGUGAGUAAUGCAUCGGAACGUAUCCUGGAGUGGGGGAUAACGUAGCGAAAGUUACGCUAAUACCGCAUAUUCUGUGAGCAGGAAAGCGGGGGACCUUCGGGCCUCGCGCUCUUGGAGCGGCCGAUGUCGGAUUAGCUAGUUGGUGAGGUAAAGGCUCACCAAGGCGACGAUCCGUAGCAGGUCUGAGAGGAUGAUCUGCCACACUGGAACUGAGACACGGUCCAGACUCCUACGGGAGGCAGCAGUGGGAAUUUUGGACAAUGGGGCAACCCUGAUCCAGCCAUGCCGCGUGAGUGAAGAAGGCCUCGGUUGUAA
rnacentral:rRNA from 2 species